AGAGGCUGGAGCGCUGUGUUGGGAUCGUCACCUCCCUCACCUGCGGCCUCUCGGACAGGGAGGCCAACGAUGCCCUCAACGCACACAUCUGCAAGGGGACCCCCCAGCACGAGGAGAUUUGCCUGGGGCUCUUCACCCUGGUGCUGACAGAGCCCUCCCAGGCACAGAAGUGCUACCGGGACCUGGCC